CUCUGGUUCGCAUUGCCUCUACUCUCCUAUCCCGACUGACGUUGGACAACAAAGAUGGCUGCCGGAACAAGCAAUUAUUGGGAAGAUCUCAGGAAACAGGCUCGACAGCUGGAAAAUGAACUUGACCUGAAACUAGUUUCCUUCAGUAAACUAUGUACAAGUUACAGUCACAGCAGUGCCCGAGAUGGAAGACGCGACAGGUAUAGCUCUGACACAACACCCCUUUUAAAUGGGUCAAGCCAAGACAGAAUGUUUGAAACAAUGGCGAUUGAGAUUGAACAGCUUUUGGCUAGGCUUACAGGAGUAAAUGAUAAGAUGGCAGAAUACACCAACAGUGCAGGUGUCCCGUCUUUGAAUGCAGCACUGAUGCAUACAUUACAGCGACAUAGAGAUAUAUUGCAGGAUUAUACACAUGAAUUCCGUAAAACCAAAGCAAACUUCACGGCAAUACGGGAAAGGGAGAAUCUCAUGGGAUCAGUACGAAAGGACAUUGAGUCAUAUAAAAGUGGAUCUGGAGUAAAUAACAGAAGAACUGAACUAUUUUUGAAAGAACAUGACCAUCUUCGAAACUCAGAUCGUCUGAUAGAAGAGACAAUAAGCAUUGCUAUGGCAACAAAAGAAAAUAUGACUUCACAAAGAGGAAUGUUGAAGUCAAUUCAGAGCAAAAUGAAUACUUUGGCCAAUCGUUUUCCUGCUGUGAACAGCCUGAUCCAGCGAAUCAAUCUUAGGAAACGGCGAGACUCCCUCAUCCUUGGCAGUGUUAUCGGUGUCUGUACCAUCCUCUUGCUGCUGUAUGCUUUCCACUGAUGGACUGUGUCCAGGGACUCUUGACAACCACCACUUUCACACCCUGAAUCAGAAUAAGGAAAAGUAGGAAGGAGAGGUUGAUUGUCCUGAUGAUUAGCCUGACCAACGGGAUUAAUUCAAGACUGAUAGUGAUGGACUCUGUGACACAGGUUGAGCUGAAGCCACAGAUCUUCUGUGCUAUCUUUUCUAACACACAUUUCCUUCUGUUUUUAGUUUAAAAAAGAAAGGUUUUCAGUUGCUUUUGUCUUCCCAGGAGGUAAGUAAACCAAUCAGAAACAGAGUUUCUGUGCUUCGGUAAUAGUGUUGAAGGCUGAUAACAAGCCACCCAAAGCUGAACUCCAGAAAACCAGGUUUCUCUAUAUCCAAAGACAGCUUUUCUUUCAGCUACCAGAUUGGGUUGUGAAUAAAAAUAGUUCUUGUCCUUUUAUUUUACACUCAUGAUGAGAAAUCACAAGUCAUUUCUUGAUAAGCUGUGCUAUAAAUUUCUACUCUGUGUCCCUGUUUUGGUAUUCAAGAAAAAUUACAUUUUUCACAUAUUCUUCGAGAUGCUAACAGGUCAACCUCAACACAGUUGAAGUUGUCUGAAACAGAAGACAAACAUUGCAAAAAAAGCUUUUUUCUUCCUCUUUUUUUAAAUUGUGUGCACACUGGGAUUAACUGUAUUGCUGGAAAAGCAUCGAGAGUAAUGGGCUUUUUUGUCCAUCAUUGUUUUGACAUUUUGUUUAUUUCUUCCGUUGGAUUAAUAUUUGCUACGACAAGAAAAUGAAAUCUCAGUUCUACCGUGGUAAAAAACGAAGAGCCAGUGUCUGUCAGUGCCCCCAACUGUUCCUCAUCAUUUCAGGAUUAACCCUGAGCCAGGGGAUUGCUCAACUUUCAGUGAGAUCAGUUCAACAAGCCACGUGUAAAAAGACAUUGAUUGAGAGGUCACCUUCCAGAUAAUUUCAUUUGUAAAUGCUCCAUGAUUUAUGAGCGAACGUUCAAGAACUACUGCCUGAUGUACCAGGAAUUCUGUGUUUUAUGAAAACCUAUUCAUUCCAAAUCUGUUAAGCCUUUCCAAACAUCCAGAGAAUGGUUUCACUGUUGAAGGUGCAUGUGACAGAAUCUAUCUGCACCUGUCUUCUACUACCGUUCCUGGACAGUGACAGAAUUUUAAACCACCCACCAGAAAUCUUUUCGGGUUUAACAUUUCUCCAUUUCUAUAAACUUACGACUUGUCCACCUGAACUACUACAGAUAGUUUGAAGACAUCAACAUGUACACUCCUCACCAGGAAGGAAGGUUGCUCUUCACCAUUGGAAUGGACUCUGGUAUUUAUAGUAUUAGCUUCAGACUAUGCCACGGGGAAUAAAAGGAUAGGAACAUGUAGUUCUUAACUGCAUCACAGUGUGUCAGUGAUGACAUUCAGGUGAACUUCAUACACAGGCUGAUGGCUAUCCUAACCCCUGAUUUGGUACAGAAACUGAGAGCUUUUUCAUUCUGUUGUCAAAGUUUUAUUAUGUUCUGGGUAUGAAAGGCAUUGGAUACAUUUUUUUAAACUAUGAGGUUUAUUUUUCUAAAUAUGGGUUGAUUGAUGACUUGAUUGGGGAUGCCCUGAAAGAAAGUCUAAGUUUUCCCAAUGUGAAUCUUAAAGGAUCGGAGAAGUUCAUUUAUUAAAUUCUCUGUUGGGAGAACAAGACUGGUCUCCCCUGACACUUUAUUAUCUUUGAUUUUUCAAAGGGCCUUGAUUGGUGGUUGUGCCUCAGCUAGAAUUUAUGGAACUUUCAUUGCUAUAUGGUUGGCAUUUAUAAAAUCUGAAGUAUCAUAAAUAAAGUUAUUUAUUUAAUUAUA